AACGUAGGACACAAGCGUUAUCCGGAGUUACUGGGCGUAAAGGGCGUGUAGGCGGAUUGGUAAGUCUAUUCUGAAAGCUCCUGGCUAAACUGGGAGAGGCGAAUGGAGACUGCCAGUCUAGAGUGAGGAAGAGGAAAGUGGAAUUCCGCGUGUAGUGGUGAAAUGCGUAGAGAUGCGGAGGAACACCAGUGGCGAAAGCGACUUUCUGGUCCUUAACUGACGCUGAGGCGCGAAAGCUAGGGGAGCAAACGGG
rnacentral:rRNA from 1 species